rnacentral:rRNA from 1 species
AUGCUUUUGACGGGUAACGGGGAAUUAGGGUUCGACUCCGGAGAGGGAGCCUGAGAAACGGCUACCACAUCCAAGGAAGGCAGCAGGCGCGCAAAUUACCCAAUCCCGAUACGGGGAGGUAGUGACAAGAAAUACCGAUUCAGGAUCUUAUUGGAUCUUGAGAUUGGAAUGAGUACAAUUCAAACCCAUUAACGAGGAACAACUAGAGGGCAAGUCUGGUGCCAGCAGCCGCGGUAAUUCCAGCUCUAGUAGCGUAUAUUAAAAUUGUUGCAGUUAAAACGCUCGUAGUUGAACUUUGGGCUUGGCUGGCUGGUCCGCCUCACCGCGUGCACUGGUCCGGCUGGGCCUUUCCUCUUGGGGAUCCACAUGCCCUUCACUUGGGUGUGUUGGGGAACCAGGACUUUUACUUUGAAAAAAUUAGGGUGUUCAAAGCAGGCAUUUGCUCGAAUACAUUAGCAUGGGAUAAUAGAAUAGGACGUGUGGUCUUAUUUUGUUGGUUUCUAGGACCGCCGUAAUGAUUGAUAGGGAUAGUUGGGGGCAUCGGUAUUCAAUUGUCAGAGGUGAAUU